rnacentral:rRNA from 1 species
CAGCAGCCGCGGGAAUACAUAGGUGGCAAGCGUUGUCCGGAAUUAUUGGGCGUAAAGGGCUCGCAGGCGGUUUCUUAAGUCUGAUGUGAAAGCCCCCGGCUCAACCGGGGAGGGUCAUUGGAAACUGGGAAACUUGAGUGCAGAAGAGGAAAGUGGAAUUCCACGUGUAGCGGUGAAAUGCGUAGAGAUGUGGAGGAACACCAGUGGCGAAGGCGACUCUCUGGUCUGUAACUGACGCUGAGGAGCGAAAGCGUGGGGAGCGAACAGGAUUAGAUACCCCAGUAGUCCCUGUCUCUUAUAC